rnacentral:rRNA from 1 species
GAUGAACGCUGGCGGCGUGCCUAAUACAUGCAAGUCGAGCGAACAGAUGAGAAGCUUGCUUCUCUGAUGUUAGCGGCGGACGGGUGAGUAACACGUGGGUAACCUACCUAUAAGACUGGGAUAACUCCGGGAAACCGGGGCUAAUACCGGAUAAUAUUUUGAACCGCAUGGUUCAAUAGUGAAAGACGGUUUCGGCUGUCACUUAUAGAUGGACCCGCGCCGUAUUAGCUAGUUGGGAAGGUAACGGCUUACCAAGGCGACGAUACGUAGCCGAACUGAGAGGGUGGUCGGCCACACUGGAACUGAGACACGGUCCAGACUCCUACGGGAGGCAGCAGUAGGGAAUCUUCCGCAAUGGGCGAAAGCCUGACGGAGCAACGCCGCGUGAGUGAUGAAGGUCUUCGGAUCGUAAAACUCUGUUGUUAGGGAAGAACAAAUUUGUUAGUAACUGAACAAGUCUUGACGGUACCUAACCAGAAAGCCACGGCUAACUACGUGCCAGCCGCCGCAGUAA